AAGACCAGUUCUAAGGGAUUUCCCUAGUUCAUUCCUGAUCUUUCUUUUCCUAACUCUCGUCUCCAUUUAAGACUUUAAGUCUUUUUUUCUAAAUUUAUUUAUUUAUUUAUUUCCUUUUUAUUUAUUUAUUUAUUUUUCCUGCUCUACAGCUUGGGGACCAAGUUACACAUACAUGUAUACAUACUUUUUCCUCCCAUUGUUGUGUUUCAAUGUAAGUAUCAAGACAUAGUUCCCAAGACUACACAGCAGGAUCUCAUUGUAAAUCCAUCUCUUAAAGUCUUAAAUUCUCCAGCCAUUAAGUCUUCUCCCAAUAGGGUGUUCUGGAAUCUGAACCUAGUGGCCCAGAAGGAACGCCCAGUAUGUGUGUUAUAAGGUGGAGUGAUGUGUGUGUCUGCAGGUUUGUACCAGAGCCAGCAGUAAGGACUGGAAAGGGCAAGACUUUGCACGACGUCUUUUCAACAAUCCAGCGAAACCAGGAGAGGGAGUUCCAGUUGUGGCUCAGUGGUAACGAACCGGACUAGUACCCAUGAGGAUGCAAGUUUGAUCCUUGGCCCCAUUCAGUGGGUUAAGGAUCUGGUGUUCCCAUGAGUGGUGUGGGUCGCAGAUGUGGCUGGGAUCCCGAGUUGCUGUGGCUCUGGUGUAGGCCAGUGGCUACUGCUCUGAUUAGACCCCUAGCCUGGGAACCUCCAUAUGCCAUGAGUGGGGCCCUAAAAAGCAAAAAAUGAAACAAAACAAAACAAAAACCAAACCAAAACAAACGAACAGAACAGGAGAGAAGGGGGUACCUGCUGUGACCCAGAAUCCCUCUCAUGCUGUGGUCCUCUUCCUCCACCUCUUAUGUGGUGUGGGUUAAGGGGAGAAUUGUCACAGGAUAUCACCCUACUGUCCCAUCUUCCCUGUGCUCCUAUCCCCACCCAACUCCAAAUACUUCUCUAAGCCACUCAAACCCACAGGAGUAGGAAAGGGGUGCGUUGUUUGGGGGAGGGGCAGUCCCACGUGCCCCAUCUGGGGGAAAGGGCUGACUUUUUGGACCUGAGCCUAAGCGCUUUCUGUCCAUGCCAAGGGCUGCCUCCUGCAUCUGGGCCUGUGGGGUUAGAAGAGCUGCCAAAAUCCUAAACUGGGCAAUGACAGUGGACAGCCUAGAUCUUGGCCACUGACUCUGCCUCAGCCCUAGGGUCAUUCGGGACGUCUCUGGAGUUCCUUCCCCCCGCCAGGCCCUGGAACAGCCAUCCAGGCUCUGAAGUAGACUUGAGAAAGGCAUAAAGAAACCCCACAAGUCCCCUGUUUCAACCUAAAAGCCCUUCCAGGGGCAGGAACCCCAAGUGAGUGAAAAAGUACAAUUCACCAUUAAGCGGGAGUGUGGAGAAUCCCAUCCAGGGCUGUUUCUGGAUGGGACUUGCCCCCAACACUUGCAGUGCAGCCAACAGGAGUAUUUGUCCUUUCUCAAAAGACGAAGCCUGAAACCCUUUGCCUCCUUGUUCCAGAGAUCCAUUCGGCCCUAAACAGCCAGCCUUCCUUCCAGGAUUGCCUGUAGCCCUGAGCAACAGGUGGCUUAUUUCAGGCUGAAGGACAAGAGGCCUACUACCCCUGUGCCAAGGACGUCCCGCGGGGUCCUCACCUUUGAGCCCCGCCCACCAACCAAUGAGGACUCACAGAGGUGACGUCACUACAUCCUGUUUCCCAGCCCAGCCGGGAGCAUGGGACCCGGUGGGGAAAAGAGCCAAUGUAAAUGACGGAUGCCACGACCAUGUUGGUAAAGACGUGGAAGGCAAAUGAGUCAGCAGCAAGUUUAAGCAACGAACAAUUGCACCACGGGGUGUUUCUCAAAUUCUUGUCUACUUUUAGAAAGUAUGCAAUGCCAUCCGGUUGAGCGUCUUGGUUCUGAAAUAGCUACAGAAAAUGUUAAAAAUGCUGUGGGUGAAGAUGUGCCCACAUGUAUCGCUCUUCUAAAACAAUAGUUAACAAUGGCACAGCGUGUCCUCGGCACAUCUUUUCAUCUUGCUGUACCUUAGUUUCCUCACCCGGAACAUGAGCGGAAUGUGUGCACAUUGUCUUGGGAGAUUCCUUUCGGUCUGACGGUCCAUGUUAUGGUAUCAUGCUCACAGUCUUAAUACUCAGACUGGGUCUACACAGUGCCAAGACCACUAGCCAGUUCAGUGAGUGUGGACAAAAUGUUCUCUCCAAUCAAUUCCUUGGCACCAUGUGGCUAAAACAGCCAGGCCUAUGUGUGAAUAGAGAUGGUGGGAGUAUAAGAAAAAGGACAACUCAUUAUUGAUGUUUCAGAUGCCGUCAUGUUAUGGAUGACACUGGCAGGGACCCCAAGGGAUGAGACCUAUCUCUGCUGGAGAACGUUGGGCAUCUUAAUAGAUAAGAUAAUGAAGCGAAGCCUUAACAGCAAACACUCAUUAAACUUUAACGAUUUCUAUCUACCCUCGUCCCACAAGCAGCUUCCACACAUGCCUCUGCGCAGCUGUGGCCUCAGGACUGAGGCGCAGUGUAGACCGUGUUCAUCGGAACGGCGUUGGAUGACUUUAUUGACCAACUCGGCUCAGCUUUUCUAAGGGGAAAAGCUCUGUUCGUACCAAAGGCUUCUCCAGGCCCUUCCCCAACACCUCUGAUUAAACAGGCUGAGCUCCCCAGAGAACAAUCCGCACCAGGAUGCAGCGAAGCCCAGCAGUGGUCUUUCCUGAUGCUCUGGUCCUCCUCGCCCUGCCCGCUGACGGAUGACUCCGCUCCGUGACUUUACUGAACUCCAGUUCGCCCACCUCCCCACACUCGUGUCCUCGGCUGUGAGCAGGCGCACUUGUGACCUGGGAGAGAACCCAAACCAACACCGACCCUGACCCCUGACGGGAGUGUUAGACUCGCAGCAGAGUCAGAUGGGAGCUGCAGGGCAAGGCUCCCCUUACAUGUGGUCUGAACCCAGGGGAGUUCACCUCGCUGAGUUAAACUCGAUGUGCUGUGACUGCCGGGCCAUGGUGCUUCGUAUCUGACUCCCAAGGGACUCUCCCUCAAGUGACUGCAAGCUCCUUGGGCACUUUUCUAUUUUGGCAUCCCCUGGGAUCAUGCAGAGCACAGAGGGAUGCUCAGGCAGAAAGCACUUUGUGUCUCUGUGUCACCUUUUGGUUAAAAGGACUUUAAAAGUCAUGUUCUGGGAUGGCCUGCUUUGUACCUACCAGAGAGCAGGGUUUGCAGAGUCAGGCGACUUUAGGGGUCUGCUUACACUCUAACCUGAUCAGGGACCUGGUUGCUAAGCGACCUUUCAAUGGAGAUUAGUGAUAACAAACUCAGCAAAGAGCUGAGGCUUGAGAAAGGAAU
rnacentral:lncRNA from 1 species